AGUUUCCGGAAGACGAAAUGGCGAAUAAACUGUGUCACCUGUCUCACCUGUGAAGUGGAGGGAGAGAGAGAGGCUAGGAUCCUCACUGGGCUGUGACAGUGAGCAAUGGUUCCAUGCAGGUGCUUCUGCAGUGCGCAGCGCAGGUGCUAGCCAACAGGUGGCGCGGCGGGCGGCGGUGACGGAGUGCGCUAACACUUGAACCCGCGACACGAUGCGUGCGGGAACGUCUGCGGCGUAGAGUAGCAGCGGCAGGUCCGCGUGUUGCUGGUUGCUUGUGAUGCUCCGCAGUACAGAGACGACCUGACCCUCCCACGAGCUUUACAGAGCCACGGACAUGUUGACCGCCGCUGAUAACUGCUCUGUCUUCUUUUCUCUACCAUCGUCGUUAUUCUUUGGAAGAAAAGAUUUGCUGCGAUGAGGGGCCUACAACUUCAAAGGCAGCAUCUACAAAGCUCAUCAUUAGUGCGCUGCUUGCCGAGAGGCCGCCAUAGAGGUAGGAGAUAAAGAUCCGUGGUAUAAAAAUAAAAAUACCUACAACUCUUUUGUCCCUCUCUGGCUCGCCAUUCCUCUCUUUCAUUUGUUUCCAAAGUCGCACAGCAACGGGAAGCCCUGGGGCCAGUGGCACAGACCAUGUCUGAACCUUAAAACAUUUAUAGAAGCAGAUUUAGAAGCUUUUCGAGGGAAUUACUUCUGAGUUGUUUUUAGAGGUGCUGCACGGGCUGAACCCUUGUCUAAGACGGAUUUUCAUUCGAAAACAGGGGCUGUUCUGUAGGAUUUGGCUGAAACA